AGAGGGCGUGAAACCGUUCAGAGGGAAACGUGAGGCGCUGGCAAAGACUCGAGGGAUUCAACUAACCGAUAUAUCGGUUGGUGCUUUUUCCUUGUGUAUGCGCUGGGAAGCGUGUGGAUUCUGCUGUCGUUCGACAUUAGAGAGCUGAAUUUCAGUAUUCUGGGGUGUAAUGGUGGUUGAUUCUGUACGUUAUCGUCCACUGCUAUGCGCAUUGUUUUGAGGUUUAGGGCGUUUGACUGCAUUUGAUCAAUAUUGAUGCGGUCUGUGUUUUGAGCCUUUUGCAUAAUUGCAGUACGGCGUUCCCGGUGAAAAUGACAGCUAACCUCUCGACCCGUCUUGAAACACGGACCAAGGAGUCUAACAUGUGCGCGAGUUAUUGGGUGUUAAACCCAUAGGCGCAAUGAAAGUAAAGGCUGAUUUUAUCGGCUGAUAUGUGAUCUCCUGACGUUUGUCUGGAGGGCAGCGUAGUCCCAUCCCGAUUGAUUUUCAAUGGGGUGGAGAUGGAGCGUAUUUGUUGGGACCCGAAAGAUGGUGAACUAUGCCUGAACAGGAUGAAGCCAGAGGAAACUCUGGUGAAAGUCCGAAGCGGUUCUGACGUGCAAAUCGA
rnacentral:rRNA from 1 species